UCAUACGUAGGACCCAAGCGUUAUCCGGAUUGACUGGGCGUAAAGAGUUGCGUAGGCGGUUUAUCAAGCGAGCAGUGAAAUCUUGUGGCUCAACCAUAAGGCUAUUGUUCGAACUGGUAAACUCGAGAAUGGAAGAGGUAUCUGGAAUUCCCAGUGUAGGAGUGAAAUCCGUAGAUAUUGGGAGGAACACCAAUGGCGUAGGCAGGAUACUGGUCCAUUUCUGACGCUAAGGCACGAAAGCGUGGGGAGCGAACGGGAUUAGAUACCCCGGUAGUCCACGCCGUAAACUAUGGAUGCUAGCUGUUAGCCGUAUCGACCCGGUUAGUAGCGAAGCUAACGCGUUAAGCAUCCCGCCUGGGGAGUACGAACGCAAGUUUA
rnacentral:rRNA from 1 species